AAAAUUGAAAUAUUUUUUAUUUUAUUUUUUUAAAUAAAAAGGAAGAGAUUCAAUGUUUUCUCCUGAGCAUGAGAUGAGUUCCUGCAACUUGUGUGUGGGGUUGCUGGUUACUUUUGAUGAAUGUUCUGGGUUCCUUAAAUGGGACUUAGAACAGAGAAAACCCAAUCUGA